rnacentral:misc_RNA from 1 species
GAUGAAGAACGCAGCGAAAUGCGAUAAGUAAUGUGAAUUGCAGAAUUCAGUGAAUCAUCGAAUCUUUGAACGCACAUUGCGCCCCUUGGUAUUCCGAGGGGCAUGCCUGUUCGAGCGUCAUUAUAACCCCUCAAGCUCAGCUUGGUGUUGGGGCCUGCUGCACUGGCAGCCCUUAAAAUCGGUGGCGGCGCCAUCUGGCUCUAAGCGUAGUAAUUCUUCUCGCUAUGGAGUCCUGGUGGAUGCUUGCCAUCAACCCCCAAUUUUUCUAUGGUUGACCUCGGAUCAGGCAGGGAUACCCGCUGAACUUAAGCAUAUCAAUAAGCGGAGGA